GAUUUGAAAUAGCUCAAUAGGAAUUCCAUCACCUCCACUAGCUUUGUUUGGUUGCUAAGUAUCUCACCAACACACCUUGGCAGUUGAUUCUGGCAUUCUUUUUUCCAGAGAAUAUAAAAGGACAAAAAGCUCUGAUUCUUUUAAACAAAAUGACAUUUUAUCCAUCAGAUCAGUGGUGCUAAUUUUCCAACUAGUGGCCGGCAGGCAAGCAGGAUGCAUUAUUUACUUCUGCUGCUGCUAAGUCGCUUCAGUCNNNNNNNNNNNNNNNNNNNNNNNNNNNNNNNNNNNNNNNNNNNNNNNNNNNNNNNNNNNUUCUCCAGGCAAGAACACUGGAGUGGGUUGCCAUUGCCUUCUCCAAGUUAUUUACUUAUUCUACCACAAAUUAUCGGUGCCUUUGAGGAUGGUCACUGAACAGGGGUUCCCUCAGCCUCCUUCCUGCCCUGUGGCGGUCAUCUCUCAUGAAAUGAUAAAGAGACCUUGCCUUGCCAAGUCAUUUUAUCAGCUGACCAAUGACUUCACACUUGGGUCUCUCCCAUUAAUCAUUCCAGUGAAGGGGGUCCUGAGGUCGCCGGGGAACACCCUGGGAGCAGGUGGGGCAGACUCCAGGUGUUAAAUUGUCUGAGCGCUUUCCUCCUGGGGUAAAGAGAAGAAACACCUUUUGAAUGAAAUCUUGAGGCAAAGGAAACACAGAGGGGAGCAUGGAGUCUGUCUCUCUCACUACUGCCUGCCGGGCCUCCUGAAACUCCUGCCGUGCCCAGGGGAUGGGGGGCAGGGGGCCCAGAGUGGGGGAGAUGCAGGCAGGCGGGGGAGAUGUUACGUCAUGAUCCGGAGUGGGAGAGGGGCUUUCUCCGCACACUCCUUCCUGGACUGUGAGUCUGGUGAACUGAAGAUGCAGGGGAACACAGCUGCUUGGAUCAGUUCUCCAUCAUGGCUGCACUGCAACCAUCCCGGUGGCUUUAAAGCAGCCUCCGUUUUAUUAUAUCUUCUGUUUCUGCGAGUUGACAGCCCAGCUGGGAAGCUCCACUGCAGGUCUCACUUGGAGUCGCUCGGCAGUGUGGUCAGAUGGCAGCUGUGGCUGGAGACGUUGAGCAGCUCGGCCGAGAAGCCAGGACAGCUGGAUCUCCCCCUCUGAAAUUUAAGAGCCUUUCAUGCAGUCUGUCCUGAAGGGUGGGCCCAUUUCUCCCAUGGAGACUCAGGGCUCCUAAGAGCUUGAAAUGCAGGUGGAAAGCUCGGAAGGGGCACAGCCUCCACCUUCUAUCUGUUAAGCUGGUUACAAGCGAGUUUCUUUACAGCCCACCUUCAGUGUGGAAGGGAGUUACAUCGGUAUGGGAGCCCUGAGAGGCGCGGCUCUGUACAUUGCAGGGGACGCCACAGUUCGGGGGACCUGAGCGCACACAGCCUGGUCUGUAAAGGAACAGAGCCCUUUCGUACCCAGAAAGCUGUUACACUGGUGAGGUGCUGCCUCCGUGUGGCUGGUUGGGGUCAUUGCGGGCACACAGCGCCCGCUUGUGUGUCUUGGAGCGGGUCAGUGAUGCUGCCAGUCCUGCAUUAAGAAAGUAAGAGUAAAAGCAAAAAAUAAAAAUAAAAGUGCUUCUUAAUAUCCAUGUGAUGUAAUUGCGUCCAUAUGCUGAGGAAGCUUGGGUUACGUAGCGACACUCAAGCCUGGGGUGGGAAGAGUGGAAAGGGGUGCAGGUGU
ensembl:lncRNA